CUUUUAUUUUUACAUUUAAUUUCACGUAUUGUGAGUAACAAUUUGACUGUAAACAUUGCUUGGUAUAUUUAUCAGUAGUUAGAUGGGUGUAAAGAUGAGAUUAGGAGAGGAUGCAACUCGUGCGUUUUUUUCCGAAGAUGAAGUGUGUUAGUAUGUUGCUUGGUGCUGGCUGUUUAGCCAUGUUAGUUUAUGAAAUCGAAGCAUUUUCGGGCUACAAGGACAAGGCAACUCCUGGUCCAACAUGUAAAACACCAGUAGGUACUUUAAACGUAGGAAAAUAUAAGGUUGACAACGCUAAAUGUCUCAAUUAUACUUGUGAUGAGGAAUAUUACAGCUUUUGUGGAAUUGGUUAUAAUAGUAAGGUAAAGAGAAUCAAAGGGUGUGUUAAAAAGAAGUUGGAGGAUUGUUGCUACCGACUUGUAAAGAAGGACGAUCCUUCCAAGAUCUGCCAAGAAAAGAAGUGUCCUGAAGACGACAUAAAAC